rnacentral:rRNA from 1 species
UCUGGUGACGAUAGCGAAGAGGUCACACCCGUUCCCAUACCGAACACGGAAGUUAAGCUCUUCAGCGCUGAUGGUAGUUGGAGGUUUCCUCCUGUGAGAGUAAGACGUCGCCGGGC